rnacentral:tRNA from 1 species
AGCAGUGUUGCCUAGUGGAAAGAGCAUUGACCUGGGAAUCAAAACCUGGGUUUUAAUCCCAGCUCUGCCA